UACGGGGGGGGGCAAGCGUUGUUCGGAAUUACUGGGCGUAAAGGGCUCGUAGGCGGCCAACUAAGUCAGACGUGAAAUCCCCAGGCUCAACCUGGGAACUGCGUCUGAUACUGGAUGGCUUGAAUCCGGGAGAGGGAUGCAGAAUUCCAGGUGUAGCGGUGAAAUGCGUAGAUAUCUGGAGGAAUACCGGUGGCGAAGGCGGCAUCCUGGACCGGCAUUGGCGCUGAGGAGCGAAAGCUAGGGGAGCAAACGGG
rnacentral:rRNA from 1 species